rnacentral:tRNA from 1 species
CGGGGCGUGGCUCAGUCCGGUAGAGCGCUGCGUUCGGGACGCAGAGGUCCCCGGUUCAAAUCCGGGCGCCCCGACUA